AUGCGCUACAAAAUUGAUGUUAGAACAUUCAUAAACGUAUCGCUAAAAUUGAUCUGUUUCAGACCUAACUUUUGGCCAAUACGACUACGGGUGGUACACAACCGGCAGGUAUACAAAAGUACGCGGCCACCACAGUACAACUUACAGAAUAUUCAAGUCCCUGUUAUCAUGUUCCAUAGUGACAAUGACUGGAUGUCGACGCCAAAAGAUGUAAAUAAUUUGGCGGAGAGAUUGCCGAACUUGGCCGGAAAUUUAAAAUUUCCUCCUUCAACCACUUGGAUUUCAUGUGGGCAGUCUCAGCGAAAGCUAUGAUCUAUAACAGAAUCGUUGAAAUGAUGGACAGUUAUAAUGAUCUCUAGUCACAAAAGUUGUAAUUUUUAAGAAAAAUGUGAUUUUAACAUAAGUCAGCUCUCAAAAAAUUUGAAUCGUUCCUUAAUAAAAUGGUUGGGUGUCGGCGACUCACGAUGAGUCACUGUGAAUCUAAUACAGAUGGACAUCGUAUACACUGCCUCAAGGUAUUGAGAUGUUUUACUCUCACCAGAAUUUUUAAACACGAUAUGAAAAAAGGGCGAACUGUAGACUUUUAAAGAUUGUAAAUUAGAGAACCAUUUUGAAUUAUGUGUAUUUUCUCAGGAAAUUUAAGGUUGAAAAGAAUUCUGUCUCCUCAAGUUAUGUGCAAGGAUGAGGAUUAUUUUCGUUGUAUCGCACCAAACUGAAUAGCAAAAAAAAUGUUCAAAUCUUCUUCAUGAUUUAUGAAUUACUUGCUGAAUUUCUCUUCUCUUAGACUUGGGUGGACAGGAUUCGUAGUCUGUAUUUAACUACAAUAUUGAAGACUCGGGUGAAAAAAGGGGACUUUCUCACAAUGUUUCAGAAUCUUCACCAACGAUGCAUUUUUUAAGAUUUCUGCCAAAAACAUCACGAAUUAAAGGUAUUUUUAGGCACAUUUCUUCUGUAAGCAUUUUUUCUGUAAAUAGUAAAAAUAUGGAAGAAAAUGCUGAAAUACUGAAAAUGAGAACACCAUUAGCUUGAAUGUUCUGAAAAAAACAAUAUAUUAAAAUUAGAGGUAGUUAAACCCUAUACAGCUUUAUUAAAGUAUCUACUUCCACACUGUUCUUAUGCGUGAUGCUGAUAGGCAUGCAUUUGAUUGGUUUCGAAAGAAUUGAUCCGUUUAUAACAAUAAACUAGUUUGUUUGAAGGAAAAAAUGUAACGAUGUCAUAUUUUGUAAUAUUCCUCUGAUGUUCCAUCAAAUCCGCUAAUUACGAUGAAUAAUUUCGGGUGUAAAAUUAUUAAAUUUAUUAAAAAUAAAAGAGUUAAGUGAAACAGUCACACUUGCAUUGUGUUGAUUUAAAAUCUCAUUUUCUAUUUUACUUUUUUGGAAGGAGGCCAAUCAGCAUCCUUGCCAGAAAAUCGAUGCAAUUUUUCUUACCGACGAGAAGAUUAUAUCCACAAAAUGUUAAGCGAAAUUUUUUUUUCUUUUCUUCCAAAAUAUGAACAUCGAAUAUGAGAUUUUGAAACGCUGCAAUGCAAAUGUAACAUUUUGUUUAAUUCAAUCCGAGUAGUGCAUCGCAAAAAGUUCAGUUCUUCAAGACGGUCCAUCGCAGGAACAAGACAAUUGUCAAGGGUCAACAAAUCCGUUCAAAGUGGGCACCCGAGUGUGAGGGAGUCUGUAAUGUUUUGGAAAACUUCUUUACUUUGAGAAGUCCUCAAAAAUAUUUUAAAAAAUUCAUGAGUCUCCUAUCCUAAAUCUCCUUCCAAGUUCACAACGCACUGCAAAACCUCAAUUAUAACAUUAGCAGAAAGGGAAUAUUUAUUUUUAAAAUAUUUAUACGUGUGAACAGUAAUUUAUAACACUUUGUAUAUAAUGUAUAUUUUAAUUUGUAAAUAAAAACAUGUUUUAUUGAUUUAUUUUUUUUAAAUUUUA
rnacentral:lncRNA from 1 species